AGGUUAAGCUAGAAAGGGCGCACGGUGGAUGCCUUGGCACUAGGAGCCGAUGAAGGACGGGGCAAACGCCGAAACGCUCCGGGGAGCUGUAAGCAAGCGUUGAUCCGGAGAUGUCCGAAUGGGGGAACCCACUGUCCGUAAUGGGGCAGUAUCCAUGCCUGAAUC
rnacentral:rRNA from 1 species